rnacentral:piRNA from 1 species
CAAAGUGGUUCUUUAGAAUAGUGGC